rnacentral:rRNA from 1 species
AUCGAUGAAGAACGCAGCGAAAUGCGAUAAGUAAUGUGAAUUGCAGAAUUCAGUGAAUCAUCGAAUCUUUGAACGCACAUUGCGCCCCGUGGUAUUCCGCGGGGCAUGCCUGUUCGAGCGUCAUUUCAACCCAUCAAGCUUCUGCUUGGUCUUGGGGCCUGCGGUUUCGCAGCCUCUAAACUCAGUGGCGGUGCUAUUGAGCUCUGAGCGUAGUAAUUUUUUCUCGCUAUAGGGUCUCGGUGGUUACUUGCCAGCAACCCCCAAUUUUUAUCAGGUUGACCUCGGAUCAGGUAGGGAUACCCGCUGAACUUAAGCAUAUCAAUAAGCGGAGGAAAAGAAACCAACAGGGAUUACCUCAGUAACGGCGAGUGAAGCGGUAACAGCUCAAAUUUGAAAUCUGCCGCAAGGCCGAGUUGUAAUUUGUAGAAGAUGCUUUGGGUAUGGCCCCGGUCUAAGUUCGUUGGAACACGACGUCAUAGAGGGUGAGAAUCCCGUAUGUGACUGGGUGCUUUUGCCUAUGUAAAGCUCUUUCGACGAGUCGAGUUGUUUGGGAAUGCAGCUCAAAAUGGGUGGUAUAUUUCAUCUAAAGCUAAAUAUUGGCCAGAGACCGAUAGCGCACAAGUAGAGUGAUCGAAAGAUGAAAAGCACUUUGGAAAGAGAGUUAAACAGUACGUGAAAUUGUUGAAAGGGAAGCGCUUGCAACCAGACUUGCACGCUGUUGAUCAUCCAGGCUUCUGUUUGGUGCACUCAACUGUGUUCAGGCCAGCAUCGGUUUUGGUGGUGGGAUAAAGGCCUUGGGAAUGUAGCUUCUUUCGGGGAGUGUUAUAGCCCUCGGUGCAAUGCCGCCUACCGGGACCGAGGACCGCGCUUCGGCUAGGAUGCUGGCGUAAUGGUUGUAAGCGACCCGUCUUGAAACACGGAAGGGC